GAAGCAACGCGAAGAACCUUACCAAAUCUUGACAUCCUCUGACCCCUCUAGAGAUAGAGUUUUCCCCUUCGGGGGACAGAGUGACAGGUGGUGCAUGGUUGUCGUCAGCUCGUGUCGUGAGAUGUUGGGUUAAGUCCCGCAACGAGCGCAACCCUUAAGCUUAGUUGCCAUCAUUAAGUUGGGCACUUUAAGUUGACUGCCGGUGACAAACCGGAGGAAGGUGGGGAUGACGUCAAAUCAUCAUGCCCCUUAUGAUUUGGGCUACACACGUGCUACAAUGGACAAUACAAAGGGCAGCGAAACCGCGAGGUCAAGCAAAUCCCAUAAAGUUGUUCUCAGUUCGGAUUGUAGUCUGCAACUCGACUAUAUGAAG
rnacentral:rRNA from 1 species